GUAGGGAAUCUUCCACAAUGGACGCAAGUCUGAUGGAGCAACGCCGCGUGAGUGAAGAAGGUCUUCGGAUCGUAAAGCUCUGUUGUUGGUGAAGAAGGAUAGAGGCAGUAACUGGUCUUUAUUUGACGGUAAUCAACCAGAAAGUCACGGCUAACUACGUGCCAGCAGCCGCGGUAAUACGUAGGUGGCAAGCGUUGUCCGGAUUUAUUGGGCGUAAAGCGAGCGCAGGCGGAAUGAUAAGUCUGAUGUGAAAGCCCACGGCUCAACCGUGGAACUGCAUCGGAAACUGUCAUUCUUGAGUGCAGAAGAGGAGAGUGGAACUCCAUGUGUAGCGGUGGAAUGCGUAGAUAUAUGGAAGAACACCAGUGGCGAAGGCGGCUCUCUGGUCUGCAACUGACGCUGAGGCUCGAAAGCAUGGGUAGCGAACAGGAUUAGAAACCCCUGUAGUCC
rnacentral:rRNA from 1 species